GGGAGGCGCCGCGGCGGUGAGUCGACCGUUUACAGGAGAAUAUUCCAGUGGGAAGUUGUAUCCUGCAGCUAUGAAGGGCCUAUCAAAUGUAUGUUUGCCAACAUAUGGGGGCAGUUUCUCAUGCUGACUUCAGCUACACAUCCUGUAGGGCUCAGGACCAAUUCUGAGAGGAGCUUAGAAGAGCUGGUCAAAAAAUCUUCAACAAACUUUUUCCUGUUGAGAACUGCUGUUCUGUUGAAACAGAAAUGUUUCAUGGAAAUGUAUCCAUUUUGAUUAAAUUUUACUGAAGUCCAGGAUGGAAUUUCUGGAGAGCAAGAGACACCCACAGUGGUUAGGGCACUCACCUGGGAUUUGGAAGAUCUAAGUUGAAGUCCCUUCUCUACCUGAUUUAGGUAAGUGCUCUACCCACCAGGCUAUAGAGUCAAUCUCACGCUUUCAAUCAGGAGAAUCUGGAAUGUGGAAGACCUAGCUUCAAAUCCCUGCUCUGAAUCAAAAGAAAACCAAAAUCUUUUCAACGGUUUUGUGAAGAAAAAAAAAAGAGCGAGAAUCUGAAUCAGGCAGAGCCGGGACUUGAACUUAAGUCUCCCACAUACCAGCUGAAGGCCCUCAUCACUGGGUAGGUGUCUCUCUCCUGUUUAUUUAAAAAUAUUUUUUGAAAGAUCUUGGUUUUGUCAGGUGUGGAAUGAAAACUAAUUUGAAAAUCUUUUACGGUGAUGGAAUUCUUGUUCUCUAGCCACCCCAGAUUGCUGAGUGCCACCUGUGAGUUGCGGAGUGCCUUCAACUCCCUAUGGCAGAGAUGGCCAAACUUACUGACCCUAUGAGCUGCAUAUGACAAUACUUGCUGAAGCACAUGCCCCCUGUAGGAAGCACUUGUCAGGGUUCGGGGAUCCUGCCCCUGUGGAAGGUGCUUGCCGGGGCUUCAGCCUCGCUCCUACUGCAGCCCCAAGCCCUGGCAGGCAUGCCCCAUGGGGUUGAAGCCCCGAGACUCCCUCUCCCUGUGGGCAGAAGCCCCUAGCUCCAUGCUCCCCACCCCUCAGUCUUGUAGACAGAAAAUGAGGGACUGUGGCAGGGUUCUGCGAGCCGCAGUUUAAUUGUAACAGAGCCACAUGUGGCUCACAAGCCAUGGUUUGGCCACCCUUGCCCUAUCGCUUCAAUAGUUGAUAGUGCUCAGUACCUUGCAGGAUUAAAUAUGUUAUUUAAUGUAUUCAGAACUGUUUUGCUGUUUCUCAAGGCACAUGGUUUCUUGAAUUUUUCUGUUUACACGUCUUGAAAAAUGGUGUCGUUUGGAGGGCCACUUGGAGAGAGUAAGAGCCUGGAGGUGAGUGUGGAGGGGCUCUUGCUUGCUUCUUGUAGCCCCACUUGUUAUUUUGGACACCACCUACCACUUGCUGUUCACUUUAUAUGUGUCUUAAAUGUAUUGCAAUCUUUGGGCCAGGUUCUCCUGCAGUGCAAAACAGCGGGAACAUUUGUGGAGUUGGUCCUUUGAGGAUUCUCUUUUUGCAAGGGUAAUCUUUGGGUAGUGUGGAUCAGGCAUACUGGGACUCAUUCUCUGGUCGCAAGAAUUCCCAGGAGAAAGAAAUUUCACCAGAAAGUUCCUACACCUCAGCAAUCCCUGGUUGCCAAAACAAACAUUUGG